GACAGUGUCUGGUGGGUAGUUUGACUGGGGCGGUCUCCUCCUAAAGAGUAACGGAGGAGCACGAAGGUUGGCUAAUCCUGGUCGGACAUCAGGAGGUUAGUGCAAUGGCAUAAGCCAGCUUGACUGCGAGCGUGACGGCGCGAGCAGGUGCGAAAGCAGGUCAUAGUGAUCCGGUGGUUCUGAAUGGAAGGGCCAUCGCUCAACGGAUAAAAGGUACUCCGGGGAUAACAGGCUGAUACCGCCCAAGAGUUCAUAUCGACGGCGGUGUUUGGCACCUCGAUGUCGGCUCAUCACAUCCUGGGGCUGAAGUAGGUCCCAAGGGUAUGGCUGUUCGCCAUUUAAAGUGGUACGCGAGCUGGGUUUAGAACGUCGUGAGACAGUUCGGUCCCUAUCUGCCGUGGGCGCUGGAGAACUGAGGGGGGCUGCUCCUAGUACGAGAGGACCGGAGUGGACGCAUCACUGGUGUUCGGGUUGUCAUGCCAAUGGCACUGCCCGGUAGCUAAAUGCGGAAGAGAUAAGUGCUGAAAGCAUCUAAGCACGAAACUUGCCCCGAGAUGAGUUCUCCCUGAGACUUAGAGUCUCCUGAAGGAACGUUGAAGACGACGACGUUGAUAGGCCGGGUGUGUAAGCGCAGCGAUGCGUUGAGCUAACCGGUACUAAUGAACCGUGAGGCUUAACCUU
rnacentral:rRNA from 1 species